GAGGAAAAUGAAAAGGAAAAAUAAAAUAAUAAUAAUAAAAUUAUUUUAUUUACAUAGACCCCUCGUGAUGUGUGUCCUAAUCACUAUUCAUCUUCUUCCUCACAAAGAAAUCCUAAAAAUUUCCACUGCCAUUUUUUCUGCCAACACCUCUCCGUCGAGUCGAAUCAUUCAACGUUGCCCAUCUUCGUUAGUCCAUCACGAAAGUCAUCACAAGCGUUUGUCUUCGUCUCCGUCGCACAUAAGGUUCUUCGAUCAUUUGCAUCUCGUCCAUCCGCCGUGCUCCGAUGUCUCCAUCUCGCAUCGUUGAUCAUUCACCAUCCAAGUUGUUCUCUACGUCCGAGCCAUACACGCAAAUGUCAAGUUUUCGUCACCCGAUUCGUUGCUUCCUUUGGAGCUGACGUCUAGCCGUACGGGUUGUACACGAGCCGUUCUCUACAUUCCGAGCCGAUCCCUUCUACUCGAGACGAGAUCUGAGCUGCGCGUCCAAGCUAUCCUUUUUUAGCAAGCCGCAAGCCUCUACAUCCGAGUCAGUCCCUCCUAGCUAAGCUAAGCCACCUCUACAUCCGGCCAGUCCCUCCUAGCUGAGCCAAGCGAACUUGUUUCAAGCCAUCUACUUUUGGGAGCCAUCUAGUAUUUUGGUUUGGUUAACUUGGGGAAGGAUUUAUAUGUAAAAAUUGUCUCCAUUUAAGGUUGUUUUGGUUUCAACCUUAGCCUUGAGGACUUCUCUGUUUGGAAAGCUUUGACUGUUGGUGUUAGGAAUAAAUUUUAUUAAACUAAUCUUAAGGUAGAGGUAGAGGAAAGCUGGGGAAUGACAAGAAGUGACUGCGAUUUGUUAUAGGAAAUUUUUUUGUUGCUUUCGCUUUUACUUUACAAUUUUGAUUUUUUAAUGUUUUUGUACCGUUGCAUCUAUCAAACUCAUGAGUUAUUUCUAUGAUUUUUUUUAAAAAAUUAGAUAGGGCUCGAAGUAGUCUUAUUUUCUAAAUUUUAUUUCUACCUACUUUAUUUAUGGUUUAUAAAUGAAAUUUGAAGUUUUCAAAGAAA